GCGUGUAGUCAUGAUUCAGCGGAAAAAAAACGACGGCAUGUACCGGUCAACCUUCGCCCCGGCAGCAGAAUCCCGAAGAUCCAGGGGUCGAGGACAGCGAACGCUACAAAGGAUUCGACCCGAUAUGAUUCCAUCAAAGAUACCGAAUAUUUGCUGACAGCGAUCAAAGCUUUCGAAGGUGGAAGGUGGAGGUGCGCUGCUGCUCGCAAAGCUAAGAUAUUCUGAUUCAACCUGCGGAACCUACUUCAUGAGGUUGGUGAAUCACGGGACAAAGAAUAAUGCAAGGGGCUAUGAAAUUCAACACACUUCGUUAGCCAAACAGUGACCCCUGAAAGAUGACCGAAAACUGCUGAAAAAACGAACAAUGGAAUGUUCAAAUGCAUCCGGCUGAUCCGGGUCCAGCCACUAUACGACAACGUCAUCGUCGGACCGGCUUGCUACCGCCUACGACUAUGUACCGCCUCCAACCAGGAUCUGCACCAGAUGACCGCCAUUCGGUCCUGGAACUCUAUGAAAUGGAAAGGCCAAUCUGGAUAAAUUUUUAGACAUUAAGAUUUUUAUCAAGAAUAUCGAAUAUUAACAUAAAAAUACUAUGUUCCUACUCUUCAGCUAGUUUUCAUUUCGGAACCUAAAUUAAAGGUUCUGAGCCAUCUGAAAUAGUAAAAACCUAUAAAACUUCCGGAGCUUCAUUUUUCCUAAUUGUAAUAUGAAUUAAAUCAAUUAAAAUCAACUUUCGAUUCUAUUAUACACAAUAAUUGAAUCAAAUAUAAAUAUAAUUAAAUCAAUUAUUUUGGUAUAGUUGAAUCAACUAUAUAUAUAAUAGAAUCAAUCAUACAACUAUAGUUGAAUCUAUCAUAUUUAUGAUAGAGUGAAGAAAUUCAAUCAUACAUAUGUACUUGAAUCUAUGAUAUUUAUAGUUGAGUGCGCAAAAUCAAUCAUAUCGGUAUUAUUGAACCUAUUAUAUGCAUUGUUAAACACACAAAAACAAUCCGAUAAUCUAUUGUAUAUUUAAUUGAAAGUUUGAUAUUUAUAGU